rnacentral:rRNA from 1 species
UACGUAGGGGGCAAGCGUUGUUCGGAUUCAUUGGGCGUAAAGGGUGCGUAGGCGGCUCGGUAAGUCGGGUGUGAAAUCUUGGAGCUUAACUCCGAAACUGCAUUCGAUACUGCCGUGCUUGAGGACUGGAGAGGAGACUGGAAUUUACGGUGUAGCGGUGAAAUGCGUAGAUAUCGUAAGGAAGACCAGUGGCGAAGGCGGGUCUCUGGACAGUUCCUGACGCUGAGGCACGAAGGCCAGGGGAGCAAACGGG